GACGAACGCUGGCGGCGUGCCUAAUACAUGCAAGUAGAACGCUGAAGGAGGAGCUUGCUCUUCUGGAUGAGUUGCGAACGGGUGAGUAACGCGUAGGUAACCUGCCUGGUAGUGGGGGAUAACUAUUGGAGACGAUAGCUAAUACCGCAUAAUGACAGUUGUUGCAUGACAACUGUUUGAAAGGUGCAAUUGCAUCACUACCAGAUGGACCUGCGUUGUAUUAGCUAGUUGGUGGGGUAACGGCUCACCAAGGCGACGAUACAUAGCCGACCUGAGAGGGUGACCGGCCACACUGGGACUGAGACACGGCCCAGACUCCUACGGGAGGCAGCAGUGGGGAAUAUUGCACAAUGGGCGCAAGCCUGAUGCAGCGACGCCGCGUGAGGGAUGACGGCCUUCGGGUUGUAAACCUCUGUUAGCAUCGAAGAAGCGAAAGUGACGGUAGGUGCAGAGAAAGCGCCGGCUAACUACGUGCCAGCAGCCGCGGUAAUACGUAGGGCGCGAGCGUUGUCCGGAAUUAUUGGGCGUAAAGAGCUUGUANGCGGUUGGUCGCGUCUGCUGUGAAGGCCGGGGCUUAACUCCGGUUUUGCAGUGGGUACGGGCUAACUAGAGUGCAGUAGGGGAGACUGGAAUUCCUGGUGUAGCGGUGGAAUGCACAGAUAUCAGGAGGAACACCGAUGGCGAAGGCAGGUCUCUGGGCUGUAACUGACGCUGAGAAGCGAAAGCAUGGGGAGCGAACAGGAUUAGAUACCCUGGUAGUCCAUGCCGUAAACGUUGGGCACUAGGUGUGGGGGACAUUCCACGUUUUCCGCGCCGUAGCUAACGCAUUAAGUGCCCCGCCUGGGGAGUACGGCCGCAAGGCUAAAACUCAAAGGAAUUGACGGGGGCCCGCACAAGCGGCGGAGCGUGCGGAUUAAUUCGAUGCAACGCGAAGAACCUUACCAAGGCUUGACAUGCAUUAGAUCGCGUCAGAGAUGGCGUUUCCCUUCGGGGCUGGUGUACAGGUGGUGCAUGGUUGUCGUCAGCUCGUGUCGUGAGAUGUUGGGUUAAGUCCCGCAACGAGCGCAACCCUCGUUCUAUGUUGCCAGCGGUUCGGCCGGGGACUCAUAGGAGACUGCCGGGGUCAACUCGGAGGAAGGUGGGGAUGACGUCAAAUCAUCAUGCCCCUUAUGUCUUGGGCUUCACGCAUGCUACAAUGGCCGGUACAGAGGGUUGCGAUACUGUGAGGUGGAGCUAAUCCCUUGAAGCCGGUCUCAGUUCGGAUUGGGGUCUGCAACUCGACCCCAUGAAGUCGGAGUCGCUAGUAAUCGCAGAUCAGCAACGCUGCGGUGAAUACGUUCCCGGGCCU
rnacentral:rRNA from 1 species